GGAAGCCAUUAGAGGAGGGGCUUUCUCUGUCUGAGCGGCUAUGAACACCGUGCUCCUGGAAGGACAUACAGUCAUUGGGACCUUCAUGUGCUACCCAGGAAGGAGGGACAUUAACUGCUGAAUGAUUCCAACCUUGGUCACCAGAAGCCACAACUGUCACCAUGUGGUACAAUCAGAUUUCCAGUUUUCAAGUCUAUUAUUCUUGCUGUUAUUGUUAUGUUGUUGUUGUUAUUAUUAUUAUUGCAUUUAAUGAUCAGAUGGGAGAAGGAGCCAGGAAAGAGCCAUUGUAUGCUACCCUCUGGGUCUGCCUCGGCAGCAGGCAUGACACCUCAAUGGCAUGACGACGUAUGAACAGGGUCUGCCUGCCUCGGAUUGCUAGCCAAGUGGAGAGCUUGUCUUGCUCACUCCUGGGGUGGUCUGUAGCCUCAGUGUGACUAGAAGGGAAACUUACCAUCUCGCCAUGUAUAUCCCCCAUAUGUUUACUUUUCCUCCUCAUUCCUCUCCUCUGCGGAUAGAAUGUGUUUUGAGUGCACACCUGUGACUCCGUCUAGACCAGGAGACCGAGGAACUGUGGGCCUAUGACCUGGGCCUCUGCUGUCCUCUGGCUUGCAGUCACCUUGCUGCUCUUGGCUUCACUUUUAUGAUUCCCCCUACACUUCAGUGGUCUUUUAUAACUUUACGAACCUGGAAAAAAGUUAUGUCAUUACAUUUCUUUUCCAAGAAUAACAAGGAGGGGGCUUUUGCCUGUCCCUCUAUGUGUGAAUAUGUGUGUACCAUUGACUAUGUGUAUAUGUGUGUAUAUGUUUGUAUUUACAUAUGUGUAUAUAUAUGUUUAUAUGAGAAUGUGUGUAUGUGUGUGUGUGUGUGUGUGUGUGUGUGUGUGUGUGCAUACAUGUAUUUGACUUCAGUUCCACAACAAUGGAAGAGGAAAACUAUUUAGUAGCUUAUAAUUGGUUCUGGAUAGUGACUGAGUCUAGAGUGUUGGGCCUGCUAUUCAGACGUUAUGAAGGAAUCCAUUUAUGACCUGUUGAAAUGGUGCACAGGUCCAAGGCAUGGGCUUACCUGAGUAAUGACACUCUUGACAGUGUCCUUCAGAGAAUGUAGUUAUUCCUUCUGUUGUACUGUUUGUGGGCAGGGUCUCCUCAGCACAGAUGGAUCAAAUGCUGGGACUGGGAAGCAGGCACCGUAUGGGCCAAAGUGCUUCAUGCUUAACAGAUUUGAGUGGUGGGAGAUACUAAGUUCAGACGUUGGUCUCAGCGUGUGCCAGUCCUCCAUGGAACAUGCUACCGUGCUGUGGAGCGAAUAGGACUCCCGAGUUAAGGAUCACCUUGGCUUUUCAUGGAUAUGUAUGACUUCCUCAGCAACCCUGGCAACCAGGGGUCCAUGUGCGAUGCUGAGAAGACUGGCAGAUGUUACCAGCAUGUUCUCCCCUACUGCCAUCCUCCUGCCCCAGCCCAGCCCAGCCCAGCCCAGCCCAUUCUAUCUCGUCCUGUCCUGUCAUGUGCUGUCCCAUCCCAUCGCAUCCCACAUCAUCCACCCAUCCAUCCACCCAUCCAUCCACCCAUCCAUCCACCCAUCCAUCCAUCCAUCCACCCAUCCAUCCAUCCAUCCAUCCAUCCAUCCAUCCAUCCAUCCAUCUAUCCAUCCAUCCAUGCGUUCAUCCAUCCAUCCCAUCCCAUCGCAUCCCACAUCAUCCAUCCAUCCACCCACCCAUCCAUCCACCCACCCACCCACCCAUCCACCCAUCCAUCCAUCCAUCCACCCAUCCAUCCAUCCAUCCAUCUAUCCAUCCAUCCGUGCGUUCAUCCAUCCCAUCCCAUCCAUCCAUCCAUCCAUCCAUCCUCCAACCCACCUAUCUCUCCAUCCACCCAUCCAUCCACCCAUUCAUCCAUCCAUCCACCCAUCCAUCCAUCCAUCCAUCCAUCCAUCCAUCCAUCCAUCCAUCUGUGCAUUCAUCAUCCCAUCCCAUCCAUCGAUCCAUCCAUCCACCGUCCCACCCACCCAUCUCUCCAUUCAUCCAUCCAUCCAUCCAUCCAUCCAUCCCAUCUAACCAUCCCACCCCUUCCCAUUGCCUUAUCUCUCCCGAGGUCUCUCUUUUUGUUACAGGCAACUAGCUCUUGUGAACUCCAGGAGGAGGAAGAGAGGAAACAGAGCGCCUGUUAUUUCAUGGAGCAGAAAAAAGCUACACCUUGAAGACUUUCUGCCCAAGGAAGAAAUGCUGUGAAUGCAGCUGAUAAUGGUGAUGGAUGAGGACACAAGGCAUCGUGGCCAGUGAAUCAGCCAAGUUACCAGAGGCUGCUGUGGUACAGGCUGCGUCUGAAUGAUGGAGAACAUGAAUUUUGGAAUCUUUUCUGUUCUGGGACAACGAAUGACGUUUGUUAGUAGGCUAGGAGCAUUGUAGGACAUGGAAACAGAGAAUUGGAGUCAGACGAGGCUCUAGACAAGGUUCAGAGCCCUGAAGUGCUCGUGGCACGGUAGGAGGUUGGCUCCUGUAGUUCUGAGCUCCCUCAGCACCUGUGUGGCUGUGCCGGGACUCUGUGGACCUGCUGAGUGACCCGGAUCUGCCCUUCAGUUCACAUCAUGGUGAACAUUCCCCGUAGAGUCGUCAUUCAUCACUAACUGUACCGUAAAACCACCCAGUCUGCCGAAGAUGACUGCCUUCGCUGGACCUGCUCUUUAUCAGCUAGCUCAUCACCCACAAAUGUGGUGACAUCAGAGGCUGUCGGUAGUGAAGGGCACGGCUUUGCUGGGGUCCGUGUAUCGCUUCCCCUCUCACUCCUGCAAAUGGUGAACUGGCUUCCCCCUUUCACCUUCUUCAGUCUCCUUGGGAAUACUUUUACACGGUGUAAUGGUUACUCUCCAUUGUCCAUUUGACAGAAUCUACAAUCAUCCAGGGGGGAAAAAUUGGGUGUGACUGUGAGCUCAUUUCUUGAUUGACUUGGUUGAAGGAGGAAGACCCACCCAAAAUGUGGACAAUAAUGCUGCAUGGACUGACGUCUGGGCAAGAGGAGACAGUUGAGUUGAGCAUCAGCCCUUAACUCUUUCUCUAUUUCAGGCUGUCUCAAGCACCUACCACCAUCUCUUCUCUACCACUGUGAACUGCACCCUCACAUCACCAGCCAGAAUAAACCCUCCCUCCAUUA